rnacentral:rRNA from 1 species
UCGAGGAUCUUCGGCAAUGGGCGCAAGCCUGACCGAGCGACGCCGCGUGUGGGAUGAAGGCCUUCGGGUUGUAAACCACUGUCAGAGGGGAUGAAAUGCAUGAGGGUUCUCUCUCAUGCUUGACAUAUCCUCAGAGGAAGGACGGGCUAAGUUCGUGCCAGCAGCCGCGGUAAGACGAACCGUCCAAACGUUAUUCGGAAUUACUGGGCUUAAAGGGUGCGUAGGCGGCGCGGUAAGUUGGGUGUGAAAUCCCUCGGCUCAACCGAGGAAUUGCGCUCGAUACUGCCGUGCUCGAGGGAGACAGAGGUGAGCGGAACUUAGGGUGGAGCGGUGAAAUGCGUUGAUAUCCUAAGGAACACCAGUGGAGAAAGCGGCUCACUGGGUCUCUUCUGACGCUGAGGCACGAAAGCUAGGGGAGCGAACGG